UGCUAUGUAUUUUAACAGCGAACAGAAACAUGUCCAAGUGUGACUUACCCACUGCUGGGGACAACUUGAUUCAAAUGAGCUUCUCAACUUCUUGCACUGAGAAGCGUCCUCUGUGUUCUCAUCUAAGCACUUCCAGUAUGCAUCCCGGGCUCCCCAGCAAGCCUGCCUUUCUUUCAUAGAUGGGGAAGAAGGGUGCGGGGCCGAGUCCCAGUGCCGCACAGUCGUCUCGCCGACUUGGGCUCCUGCGGCAUAAACCCACCACCUGAGGAAAACAAUUCGCGCGGCGGAUUCGCUGGCCUUGUGACCCUUACGGGCUACCGUUUGCCGGUCAAAAACGGCGGGACUUCCGGUCCCACACUCCUACCUGCUAGAGUGACUUCCGGGCCUGCUCAGUCAAGGGAGGAAGUUCCUGGAGAAGUAGAAGUACUGCGUGGUUAGCGUCCGGUCACUCUUCAGAGCAGCCUUGUACUUACUACGUUUCAGUGUCUCUCCUUGCAGCUUUUCGUAACUUUAACGAACUAUGCUCCUUUCGUGUCUCAGUUUCUAUAUCUGUUUCGCCAAGCGCCGCUCGGAAGGGUUAAUUCAGGAGCGAGCCCUACUGGAAAAGGCGGCUUUGUGUGGAAGUUUGCACCUGGGAGGUGAGAGCUGGACGGAACGUUAAAGAGCCCUGAAGGCUUAACUCUACGCUUCUGAGGUUAAAAAAGAGAGAGAGAGAAAGAAACGGCUCCAGAAAGAGGCGGAUGACACCCCAGGUUACAUGGCAAAAAAGUGACUAAACUGAGAACUCAGGGCACCAAUCUCCCAGUUUCCCCAUUGAGAUUUCAUCCUGUUACAUUUCCCGGCAUCACCUUGUUCUUGCUUUGAACCCUUGCGACUUUUUUUUUGUAGAUGGAAAAGAUUCUUUUAGUUGGUAUUUGGAGACAUCUAGUGAAAGAAUAUGAAAGCAAAGGUCGAGUCCGCAAGUUCUGGUAGUUCGUGGAAUUAAAAAGUGAGCAUGAUUAGAGUUUACAGCUAAAAAUCCUUGGACUUGGAUCUGAAAUUUGCGAAGGUGCUACAAUUUGAUCAGGAGAGUGGGUAAAAUUAAUACUUGCAUUAUUGUUUUAAUUAUUUGUAGCUCUUUUUACUCUAAACGCUGACAUUUUUUUUUAAGGAAUGAAAAAAUGCGCCUUUAGAUAUUUUGAAAGGAUGUUAUUUCAGUAUAUGAGUUAAUAUAUUCCGUGCAGCAGAAUCUUUAUUUGAAAGCACGCUUAUGGAUAAAGGUUAGUCUUUAGUUCACUUACUGAUUCCAUCUGCUCCAUUACCUAGUCUUGCUUAAGUUCUAAGUGCUUAAAAAACUCAUAAGCAGUUUACAGCUCUGCACUUUGCAGCUGUUCGAUCUUUUCCAAAUUCAACAUAUGCAGAUUUUCAGGUUGGCUAUGUGAAGCUAAGUACCACCAAA
rnacentral:lncRNA from 1 species